rnacentral:misc_RNA from 1 species
GUAUAUAUUUUCAUAGGCACAACAUUCUAUUGACAUACAUUGGGGUAAAUGAAGCAACAUAGACCUGAAAGGCCUACAAAAAGUGCACAGGUGGAGAUAUAAAGAUGACAAGGCGUGCACAUGCUCCCUAGAGAACCAGCAACAACCCAUCAGGUUUAUUUCAAUAAUGAUCCUUCCGCAGGUUCACCUACGGAAA